UCCAUUAUCAAGCCAACCCAUCUCCCCUCAGUGCUGAGUGCUUCUCCAAGGUGUACAGUACAGCCAGGCAGGCUGGACAGAGAAAGGACUCCAUUCUUCUACCCCUCCUGACUCACGGCAAAAGUGCAGCACUACCUCGAGCUCUGGUUUCUGUGGUCCUUUUGUCUCGCGCCACCGAUCGAGGACACAAAAUGGGUCUGGAGGGAACCCAACACCGCGCCCUCACGUUUCUCAUCGCCACUGUGGAAGCUACAGUCACAGGAAUGGUAUUUCCCGCUCACACUUGAAACCGUCCCAGAUGGGCUGCCCAGUAAAGCAAUGCCGCUGACCCAGUAACUGUUGUACCAAAACCGAGUCCAAGACCAGAGUGUAUCGAGACCACAGCAAGACCAAGACCUUGAGGGGUCAAGAC